rnacentral:rRNA from 1 species
UACGUAGGAGGCGAGCGUUGUCCGGAGUUACUGGGCGUAAAGCGCGCGCAGGCGGUCUUCCAAGUCAGUGGUGAAAGCCCGGAGCUCAACUCCGGAACUGCCAUUGAAACUGUGAGACUUGAGUACGAGAGAGGUGAGUGGAAUUCCCAGUGUAGAGGUGAAAUUCGUAGAUAUUUGGGAAGAACACCGGUGGCGAAGGCGGCUCACUGGCUCGGUAACUGGCGCUCAGGCGCGACAGGCGUGGGGAGUCGAAACAAGGA